rnacentral:sRNA from 1 species
AGAUCAGAAACUCAUAAGACAGCAUUAAAAAGUACUAUACAGGAGGAGAUGGAAUAAGAUGGCCAAAUAGAAGCCUCUGGCAAUCAUCUCCCCCAAAGGAAUUGAACAACUAUCGAAACAAAAUUGAACAACUCUCUAAACAAAAAAAGUACCUUCAUAAAAAACAAAAAUCAGGACAAUAUCAGAAUGGCACAUACCGGUGUCCCCAAGUCAUAUUUGGAAUAAGAUCACUUGGGAACACAUGUCAAAGAAGGACACAGUGUUCUGCCUCUCCUGAGUAAGCAGCAACAAGGCACAAUCUUGGAAUCAGAGGGCAGCCCUCACCAGACAACUAAAUCUGCAGACACCUUGAUCUUGGACUUCCCAGCCUCCAGAACUGUCUUUCUGGCAACUGUCUAAACAUAAACCAGGGAAGGGCAAGGCAGACUCAGGAAGGACAAAUAGAAGGCUAUUUCCAUAAAUCAGACAUAUGAAGGAGGGUCUUUUCAUAUUAAAUUGUUUUCCUGGCAGCACCUGAACCAAAGGAUAAGACUUCAAAUAAGUCUUUUUCCAAUGUUAUGCUGAAACUGGAUUCAACAUUUCUCAUAAAACUUCUAAGUCAAACAGUGAUGAGAAACUACUGCCUAAAAGUUGAUAUUAUGGAUUCCCAUAAGGAUUCAUGUCUCCUAUUCACUUUAAUGAACAGUUGUUGGGCAACAAUUCUAGAAGAGUUCCAACUCUCAUCAGGAGUAUGGACAAGGUGGAGAAGCAGAGAAAAUGCAAUGAGUAGAAUGUCUAAGUCAUCACUUUGGAAUUGACUGAACAUAAAUAAAAAUGAGAAAGAUACGUAAAAAAGAAGGGAAUGGUUGCCACAGCCCCCAUUUUGCAAACGAGGCAGCUGAGGUUCCCAGAGGCUCAAUACCAGCACCAUGGGCCGAAGCACGCAGGGCAAACACAGCCGGAGGAUUUUAAUGCCUUUUGUAAAGACCUGCCUAAUGGUUCUGCCUUCAGUGCAGACAAUAU